rnacentral:sRNA from 1 species
CAGACCCACCACUCUGAAUGUAUCGCACACUAAGAAUUUAGAUGCUCGGCGUUGAGGCCGUAGCGUUGUUCUUUAAUAAUUUGUGAUGUAGCGAGCGUUUGAGAACAAACUUCUCGACGUGUCGUUGUGGCUAAGGCGGGGACCUCGAGUCCCUAGAAAUUGAGUCGUUAUAGUUCGCGUCCAGGCUUUGUACCCCUGGACUGAAUAUGACCUUGAGGCAACUUGAGGUUAUAUGGUCAAGCGAAUAAGCGCACACGGUGGAUGCCUUGGCGGUCAGAGGCGAUGAAGGACGUGGCAGCCUGCGAAAAGUGUCGGGGAGCUGGCAACAAGCUUUGAUCCGGCAAUGUCCGAAUGGGGAAACCCACUGCUUCGGCAGUAUCCUGCAGUGAAUACAUAGCUGCUGGAAGCGAACCCGGUGAACUGAAAUAUCUAAGUAACCGGAGGAAAAGAAAUCAACCGAGAUUCCCUAAGUAGUGACGAGCGAACGGGGACUAGCCCUUAAGCUGGUAUGGUUUUAGAAAAACAACCUGGAAAGGUUGGCCAUAGAAGGUGAUAGCCCUGUAUUUGAAAGGGCCAUACCAGUGAAGACGAGUAGGGCGGGGCACGUGAAACCCUGUCUGAACAUGGGGGGACCAUCCUCCAAGGCUAAAUACUCCUGACCGACCGAUAGUGAACCAGUACC